UCCACCUUUGGCAUUGACACCCACCACUCCAUGUUCUUGUUUGUUAAUUAGUGAAUCUCACAGCAAGAACAAGAAUGGAGGGAAUAAUAAGUGAAAGAGCAGAAACAGAUGGAGUAAUAUGUAUAUUGAAAGAGGGGGCUAGCACUAUAUAUAUUUAUAGAAAAGCAUCAGUACUAACAGCUAACACCCACUACUAAUAAACUCUUGUAACUAAGUUGCUCUUCUUAACAUUGUUUACCUUGCUUCAAUUUGACCAUACUAGCAUCAACAAUUUGACCACUCAUUGACACCCAUUUACUGGCUUCAAUUUGACCAUACUAGCAUCACAAAUAGGUGUACUCUAGUUUCUCUUCUUAACAUCAUUUACCUUGCUGCGAGUAUAUGAAUUUUCAUAAUAUAAUAACUGCUUAAGUUGUAAAACAUCUCUACCCACCUCGUACUUUUGUCUGUCC
rnacentral:lncRNA from 1 species